GGGAGAGAAGGGAGAGGGCAGCUCUGCAGACUGGGGCUGUACCUGCUGGAAAGAAGCCAUGAUUGAAGAGAAGCAGAUGGAGUUCAGAAGCAAUCUCUGAGAAGGAAACUAUUGUAAAUAGCUCUUCAUAUACCACUGAAACUUUAAAACAGCAAAUUUUCCUGAAAAAAAAUCAGCUUUGGCAGAAAACAUAAUGCAAGAAAACAACAAAAAUUGUUUUUCCACUUACUUAGAUCAAGAGUGCAGUUGGUGACACAAGUUGUUGGCCAGUACAGUACAAGCCACGUAUGCUGAUGGUUCUGAAGAAGAGACAAGACAUCAAAGGAACAGAGUGCUCAUUGAAGAAGGAACCACUAACAGCAGAAACUAGCUUAGAGUGACACAAAAACCGAGCAGAAGGGAACAGCAAUUGAAAUAAUAUCAAGGGAA
rnacentral:lncRNA from 1 species